UUUUAUGAUACAAAUUAAAGUUGAAGGAUAUUAUUGAUACAAACAACUAAGUUGAGGGAUUAUGAAUGACAUUAACCCUUCCAAAUACAUAUUUAUAUUUUCAAGGCUAUUUUUCACAAUUUGUAAAAUUUUAAGAUUUUACCAUUCAAGUUUAUGGACGCCCAUCAAUUAUUGAUUGAAAAUGCAAGCUUGAUGAUCUUAGCAGAUAGUGAAGGGCAUGAAAAAUUCCCAUGGUUUAGCUAUAGCAUGUAGGUCUACUGUUAUUGAAAUUGAAACGGACUUGGUAUUGUUAUGGAAAUUGAAACGGACUUGAAUGGCGAACGAAGCUGAUGGACUUGGUAUUGUUAUGGAAAUUGAAACGGACUUGAAUGGCGAACGAAGCUGAUGGAAAUUGGUAUUGUUAUGGCAAUUGAUGCGGACUUAGUGUCAAACAAAGCUGAAUGA
rnacentral:misc_RNA from 1 species